rnacentral:misc_RNA from 1 species
GAUGAAGAACGUAGUGAAAUGCGAUAAGUAAUGUGAAUUGCAGAAUUCAGUGAAUCAUCGAAUCUUUGAACGCACAUUGCGCCCGCCAGUAUUCUGGCGGGCAUGCCUGUUCGAGCGUCAUUACAACCCUCAGGCCCCCGGGCCUGGCGUUGGGGAUCGGCGGAGCCCCCCGUGGGCACACGCCGUCCCCCAAAUGCAGUGGCGGUCCCGCCGCAGCUUCCAUCGCGUAGUAGCUAACACCUCGCGACUGGAGAGCGGUGCGGCCACGCCGUAAAACACCCAACUCUUCUGAAGUUGACCUCGAAUCAGGUAGGAAUACCCGCUGAACUUAAGCAUAUCAAUAAGCGGAGGA